UACGAAGGGGGCUAGCGUUGCUCGGAAUCACUGGGCGUAAAGGGUGCGUAGGCGGGGUUUUUAAGUCAGAGGUGAAAUCCUGGAGCUCAACUCCAGAACUGCCUUUGAUACUGAAAGUCUUGAGUAUGGGAGAGGUGAGUGGAACUGCGAGUGUAGAGGUGAAAAUUCGUAGAUAUUCGCAAGAACACCAGUGGCGAAGGCGGCUCACUGGCCCAUAACUGACGCUGAGGCACGAAAAGCGUGGGGGAGCAAACAGG
rnacentral:rRNA from 1 species